GUCCCAUCCCUUGAUUUGUUCUCUACUCUACUUGAAAGAACAUAUAUAUAUCUUGGCCUACAAGGCUACAAUGCAAGACAUUAAACCAUCAGAUCAAAUAAUUAUAGCUGUCAAAUGGACGGGUCCGUCCAGGGACCAUUGGGCGUGUCCGUAUGGACAGUUUUUUUUAUGGGCCAAGUUGGACGGUUCAUAAUGGACAAUGGUCCGAAAAAUGUCCAUGCCUAAUAAAGACCAUGUCCAUAUGGGCAAGCCCAUGUAUAGCCCAUUUUAUUAUUGAUAAAUCAAAAAUCAUGAUUUUAAAGAAUUGUGUUUUUGCAUUUUGCAUUUUUCCGACAAAACGGUAAAAUUGUGUUUUUCCCUCAAUUCAUGCCCAUGGGCAGCCCAUUGUCCAUAUGGUCAAACCCAUAUUAUCCGCGGACAAAACUGGUCAUAUGCCCAAUUGGACCAUUUGUUUUAUGGUCUGGAAUAUAGCCCGUCCAUAUGCAUUUGGACUGGGCAAGCCUAUGGGCCGCCUGUCCAGUUGACAGUUCUACAAAUAAUGUACCUACUAACAGAACAUUGUAAGAAGCUACAGAUAUAGUAAUUAGUACAUGUCCAAUGUAAAUCCACUCAUACAUUUCUUCUCUCUUUGUUUUACUUUAAAAUAUCGAUU
rnacentral:sRNA from 1 species